rnacentral:lncRNA from 1 species
CAUGUACUGUUGGGUGCCCCACAGCAUUGUUGGGAAGCAUAAGGAGCUGGAGGGCAUCAGCCAGGCUUCUGCAGAAUACCAAGUUCUGCAGAUUGUGUCAGCAAUGGAGAACUACGGCAUAGAGUGGCAUGCCGUGAGGGACAGCGAAGGACAGAAACUCCUCAUUGGGGUCGGACCUGAAGGCAUCUCAAUUUGUAAAGAGGACUUUAGCCCUAUUAACAGGUAACUCAAGUCUUCAAUAUACAUUCAUGAAUACUGCAUAUAUGCAUACACACAUUCAUACAAUCCCAAGCAUGUAUGUCUACUCUUUGCUUUUGCUGAAAAUAGAAAAUGGACAGAAAUUCACCGGACAACCUCUAUGAAUAAAGUGAUUCAUUUUCUAACUUGUUCAAUUAAUUGCAUUCAAGUCCUAACUAAUUAUUUCUUAAGUAC